GCUUUUGGUUCAGUGGUAGAAUAUCGCCUGCCACGCGGGCGCCCCGGGUUCGAUUCCCGCCCAUGUAUU
rnacentral:tRNA from 1 species